GGGGAUAUAGUGCAGUUGGUAGAGUGCUUGCCUUGCAUGCACAAAGCCCUGGGUUCAAUCCCCAGCACCACCA
rnacentral:tRNA from 1 species